rnacentral:rRNA from 1 species
UACGUAGGGGGCUAGCGUUGUCCGGAUUUAUUGGGCGUAAAGAGCUCGUAGGCGGUUUGUUGCGUCGGCUGUGAAAUCCCGAGGCUCAACCUCGGGUCUGCAGUCGAUACGAGCAAACUAGAGUGUUGCAGGGGAGACUGGAAUUCCUGGUGUAGCGGUGAAAUGCGCAGAUAUCAGGAGGAACACCGGUGGACGAAGGCGGCUCACUGGCCCGGUACUGACGCUGAGGUGCGAAAGCGUGGGGAGCAAACAGG